GAGAAUGUGUGGAUGUAUGGACGCCACUUGGCACAGUCAGGAGACAUCUAACUUAACUUGAUGUGCUUAAAAAUAUCUCAGGUAAAAACCAACACCUCUUAAAGAUGUUGCCAUCAAUUCUGUAUGCAUUAUUAGAGGUCAGCAUUUUCUCAGAGAGUAGACAUGUGCAUAUAAUGAAAAUGCAAGCAUAUGUAUCCCAUAUGGAAGAAAGAUUAGAAUCUGCAAAGGCAUCAAUAGAGGACUUAAAAUGCGAGCUCGAUCAUAGCCAUGCUGCCUAUCACAAAUUAAAAAGUGAG